CCUUAAGAUGACGAAGUUGUUGAGUGUUCACACAGAUUGCCUUGAUUCAAAGUAGUUAGAGCAAAGACCUGGUGUAGUGAUGCAUCAGCUUCUGUUGUCCAGCCCUCGGGAUGAAUGAGAGAAAACCUCUUCUGCCGGAUAACGGAAUGUGAAUAGCAGUUUACUGCUACCUGUUGUCUCAGUGCGCAAGCGCUGCAAAAGCAGACUCGGGGUCCCCUUCGUCUAGAGGCCUAGGACACCGCCCUUUCACGGCGGUAACAGGGGUUCGAAUCCCCUAGGGGACGCCACUUCUCUUCUUGCUAACAAGAAUGCGGAGUUAAGAAGCUAAUUCUUAACUCUGUUUUCUUCGGCCUUGCGCCGUUGCAAACAUGCUCUUUAACAAUCUGGAAAGCUGAUUUAAAAAGUAGUUCUCAAACAUUUGUUACAAGUGCUUUGGAAACUUCUUGGCGAAAACCAAAUUUUAUUUGGUCCUUGUUGUACGACAACAAGCUGUGCCGGUUUCACCGACACUUCUUGGGGUUGUAU
rnacentral:tRNA from 1 species